CGGCCGCAGUUCAGCUCCCGGAGUACACUGCCGGACUGCCGCCAAAGCUUCAGGGGCGGCCGGGUGGCUUCGACGGCGGCCAGACUGCGGUAGAAGCUUCGGCGGCAGUUCGGCGGGGGUAGCUCGGCGGCAGGGGCGCCGAAACUGACUAGCUCGUUUGGUCACUGUAGGCGGGGUACCAGAGACCCAAAACAACACACCAAAUCCCAGGAAAAGUGUUGUUUUCAUAAUAUGUCCACUUUAAGUCAUUAGUUCCAAAUUCUUUCUGGGUUGCUUGUCAGGCAAAACAAGUCUGGUAACUUGUCUGGAGUAUUUUGUUAACUAACUAAUUCUAAACAUAAUUCUUAUAUAAUCAACAAAAAAAAAGGAAAAGGCAAAUAAUUAUUUGAAAUCCUACUUGCAUUAAUUGUUUUUUACUAGCAAGUGACACAA